UAUGACCACUAGGGGUGCCCUUCAAAAGGGCUGAGAUAAAAGUGAGACUUUUAGACCCUCAUAACUUGAACAGGUUAAAACCUGCGUAGGGAAGUGGAGCGGUAUUUGG
rnacentral:ncRNA from 2 species